UGGGGAAUUUUGGACAAUGGGCGAAAGCCUGAUCCAGCAAUGCCGCGUGUGUGAAGAAGGCCUUCGGGUUGUAAAGCACUUUUGUCCGGAAAGAAAUCCUUGGCUCUAAUACAGUCGGGGGAUGACGGUACCGGAAGAAUAAGCACCGGCUAACUACGUGCCAGCAGCCGCGGUAAUACGUAGGGUGCAAGCGUUAAUCGGAAUUACUGGGCGUAAAGCGUGCGCAGGCGGUUUGCUAAGACCGAUGUGAAAUCCCCGGGCUCAACCUGGGAACUGCAUUGGUGACUGGCAGGCUAGAGUAUGGCAGAGGGGGGUUAGAAUUCCACGUGUAGCAGUGAAAUGCGUAGAGAUGUGGAGGAAUACCGAUGGCGAAGGCAGCCCCCUGGGCCAAGUACUGACGCUCAUGCACGAAAGCGUGGGGAGCAAACAGGAUUAGAUACCCUGGUAGUCCACGCCCUAAACGAUGUCAACUAGUUGUUGGGGAUUCAUUUCCUUAGUAACGUAGCUAACGCGUGAAGUUGACCGCCUGGGGAGUACGGUCGCAA
rnacentral:rRNA from 1 species